rnacentral:piRNA from 3 species
GACAUUUGGUGUAUGUGCUUGGCU